rnacentral:rRNA from 1 species
UGAAUAAGGAUCGGCUAACUCCGUGCCAGCAGCCGCGGUAAUACGGAGGAUCCAAGCGUUAUCCGGGAUUUAUUGGGUUUAAAGGGAGCGUAGGUUGACAUAUAAGUCAGCUGUGAAAGUUUACGGCUCAACCGUGAGAUUGCAGUUGAUACUGUAUGUCUUGAGUGUACAAGAGGUGGGCGGAAUUCGUGGUGUAGCGGUGAAAUGCUUAGAUAUCACGAAGAACUCCAAUUGCGAAGGCAGCUCACUGGGGUACAACUGACACUGAGGCUCGAAAGUGUGGGUAUCAAACAGGAUUAGAUACCCUGGUAGUCCACACAGUAAACGAUGAAUACUCGCUGUUUGCGAUAUACAGUAAGCGGCCAAGCGAAAGCAUUAAGUAUUCCACCUGGGGAGUACGCCGGCAACGGUGAAACUCAAAGGAAUUGACGGGGGCCCGCACAAGCGGAGGAACAUGUGGUUUAAUUCGAUGAUACGCGAGGAACCUUACCCGGGCUUGAAUUGCAGAGGAACAUAGUUGAAAGAUUAUGGCCGCAAGGUCUCUGUGAAGGUGCUGCAUGGUUGUCGUCAGCUCGUGCCGUGAGGUGUCGGCUUAAGUGCCAUAACGAGCGCAACCCUUAUCAUUAGUUACUAACAGGUCAUGCUGAGGACUCUAGUGAGACUGCCGUCGUAAGAUGUGAGGAAGGUGGGGAUGACGUCAAAUCAGCACGGCCCUUACGUCCGGGGCUACACACGUGUUACAAUGGGGGGUACAGAGGGCAGCUACCGGGCGACCGGAUGCCAAUCCCAAAAACCUCUCUCAGUUCGGAUCGAAGUCUGCAACCCGACUUCGUGAAGCUGGAUUCGCUAGUAAUCGCGCAUCAGCCACGGCGCGGUGAAUACGUUCCCGGGCCUUGUACACACCGCCCGU